rnacentral:rRNA from 1 species
UCCCCAGACUCCUACGGGAGGCAGCAGUGAGGAAUGUUGGUCAAUGGCCGCAGGGCUGAACCAGCCAAGUCGCGUGAGGGAUGACGGUCCUAUGGAUUGUAAACCUCUUUUGUCAGGGAGCAAAGGGCGCCACGUGUGGCGUUUUGCGAGUACCUGAAGAAAAAGCAUCGGCUAACUCCGUGCCAGCAGCCGCGGUAAUACGGAGGAUGCGAGCGUUAUCCGGAUUUAUUGGGUUUAAAGGGUGCGCAGGCGGAAUGUCAAGUCAGCGGUAAAAUUUCGGGGCUCAACCCCGUCGUGCCGUUGAAACUGGCGUGCUCGAGUUGGAGAGAAGUAUGCGGAAUUCGUGGUGUAGCGGUGAAAUGCAUAGAUAUCACGAAGAACCCCGAUUGCGAAGGCAGCAUACCGGCGCCCUACUGACGCUGAGGCACGAAAGCGUGGGUAUCGAACAGGAUUAGAUACCCUGGUA